rnacentral:rRNA from 1 species
AACAAACGCUGGCGGCGUGUCUUAAGCAUGCAAGUUGAGCGGCAAGGAGGAGAGAUCUUCCCUAGAGCGGCGGACUGGUGAGUAACGCGUGGGUAAUCUAUCGUAGGCAUGGGGAUAGUCACUAGAAAUAGUGGGUAAUACCGAAUACGUUCCAUGAGGGGAGUACUUAUGGAAGAAAGGGUGCUACGGCACUGGCCUUAGGUGAGCUCGCGUCCCAUUAGCUAGUUGGUGAGGUAAAGGCCCACCAAGGCGAUGAUGGGUAGCCGGCCUGAGAGGGUGUACGGCCACACUGGGACUGAGAUACGGCCCAGACUCCUACGGGAGGCAGCAGCUAAGAAUAUUCCGCAAUGGACGAAAGUCUGACGGAGCGACGCCGCGUGGAUGAAGAAGGCCGAAAGGUUGUAAAGCUCUGUCAGGUGGAAGAAAUCGAUGAAGUGAACACUCCAUCCUUGACGGUACCACCAGAGGAAGCACCGGCUAACGUCCGUGCCAGCACG